GACGAACGCUGGCGGCAUGCUUUACACAUGCAAGUCGAACGGUAACAGGCCGCAAGGUGCUGACGAGUGGCGAACGGGUGGGUAAUGCAUCGGAACGUGCCCAGUCGUGGGGGAUAACGCAGCGAAAGCUGCGCUAAUACCGCAUACGAUCUCUGGAUGAAAGCGGGGGACCGAAAGGCCUCGCGCGAUUGGAGCGGCCGAUGUCAGAUUAGGUAGUUGGUGGGGUAAAGGCCCACCAAGCCAACGAUCUGUAGCUGGUCUGAGAGGACGACCAGCCACACUGGGACUGAGACACGGCCCAGACUCCUACGGGAGGCAGCAGUGGGGAAUUUUGGACAAUGGGCGCAAGCCUGAUCCAGCAAUGCCGCGUGCAGGAAGAAGGCCUUCGGGUUGUAAACUGCUUUUGUACGGAACGAAACGGUCCGGGUUAAUACCCUGGGCUAAUGACGGUACCGUAAGAAUAAGCACCGGCUAACUACGUGCCAGCCGCCGCCGUAAAAC
rnacentral:rRNA from 1 species